rnacentral:rRNA from 1 species
CUUGGGCAAUGGGCGCAAGCCUGACCCAGCGACGCCGCGUGAGGGAUGAAGGCCUUCGGGUCGUAAACCUCUGUCAGGAGGGAAGAACGGCGAUGAGGUGAACAAUCUCGUCGUCUGACGGUACCUCCGACGGAAGCGCCGGCUAACUCCGUGCCAGCAGCCGCGGUAAUACGGAGGGCGCAAGCGUUGUUCGGAAUCACUGGGCGUAAAGCGCGUGUAGGCGGCUUGGCAAGUCGGGUGUGAAAUCCCGGGGCUCAACCUCGGAACUGCACUCGAAACUGCCUGGCUAGAGUCCCGGAGAGGGUGGCGGAAUUCCCGGUGUAGGGGUGAAAUCCGUAGAUAUCGGGAGGAACACCAGUGGCGAAGGCGGCCACCUGGACCAGUACUGACACUGAGGCACGAAAGCGUGGGGAGCAAACAG